UGAUAACAGAGCUUUUGCCUUCCUGGUUCUCUUUCUACAUGAGGUGGGCCCAAGGUGGGAUGGGCGGGAAAAGCAGUUUGGCAAGACUUCUUUUUGGAUGUUUAGGGGAGGAACAUAAAGUGGGACAAGGGAGUGCUGACGGUCAUUAGGAGAGGAACAGGCAUAGGCAAAGUUGAGGGGAAAAGUCCUAAAAAAAGGCCUCUGUGACCAAGGGGGUUUCCAUGUCCCUUCAUGACAAAGGGUGGCCGUGCCCACCAGGCCUUUAUGACCCACGCUCACAUCGUGCCCAAAGGCCAUUGUGACACGGGUGCCUGCGGUGACGUGGAGGGCUCUUACAGGGACAAAGCCCUCGCGUUGUCACUCCCAGGAUAGCAGCUCUCUGAGGAGGCAGCAGCUCUCUCACGAGGCAGCAGCUUCUCUGGAGGAAGCAGCUUUCUGGGUGCCCUUGGCCAGUGUUCGUCAGAGCACUGCCAAGAUGUCAAAGAGGCAGGACGAGAACGUCCACUUCCAGCCCCGUGAGGGGCAGCGAUUGCUGUCCAAGCGGCAACAGGUGAGGGGUGGGGAUGGAGGGAGAGGCUACACUGGGACCUGGGGGAGGGCUGGAGGCAGAGAGCUUUGCCCUGGGGAGGAGCUGGUGCCAGCAUGGCCCAGGUGAAGGAAUGCCCCAGAGACAGCAAGCACAGCUGGGAACCCAGCCCAGCCUGGCUGCUGCAGUCAGCACCUGCCUUAGGGCCAGAGCUGAGCUUGUCUCCCUGCUGGGGGACAGCGUGUUCGCACAGCCGCCUCCAUCCCACGCCUCUUCCUGCUUCCCACAGGUGCCUCAGAGGCCGCCGCAGGCAGCAGCGGAGGUCACAUGGGUGACCAUCGUGCCCCUCCAUGGGGACAGACUGGUCCAGAGACAGGACACCUCAUCCCGACCCACAGGACCGGGAUCACAGGAGGAAAUCCUGGAAGGCCAGUAUUUGCUGCCCCACAGCGGCACAGUCACACAGUCACCAAGAUUGUCUGUGUCAGACUUGCCGCCUCUCCAUGGCCCUCCAUUGCCAGUGACACCCCCAUGCCGAGAGCCAAAGCCAAGAGCAGCCUCGGCAAGGGUCAAGCUGCCCCCUCUGCCAGCAGCCCCAGCAGCCUCUGGGGCUUAUCCCAGAGGCAGAGCGUGGUCCAUGGGCCCUGUGGCCAGCAGCCAUCGAGAGCUUGUGCCACCUUCUUUGUGGGGCAUUUUGGCUGCUGACAGGGUCUGGGGACCACCUUCCCCUGACAGCUCAGCUGAAAGGCUCUGGCGAGGGUCAGCGGCAAGGCAGGGCCAUCACCAGCCACCCCUGCAACGUGCAGGGGGCAUGCUACUCCACACAGGGACCCAACCUGACUGGAAGCACCUGGGGCACAGCGAGACGGAGGAGCUCACUGAGGUGCAGGAAAAACACGGUGUCAUAUCAUCCAGAGACCUGUUUAGAGGCCUUGCCCCGUGCCUGUGUAAAGACACAUCCAUUGUGUCCACCUGCAUGCAGGAGCAGUCAAGUGUCCACCAAGACUUGGUGGAUCCACAGCCCCAGGUGCUGGCCAGCACACUUAGCUUGACUGAAGGCUCCAUGGGAGAGAUGGGAAACUCCUCAGACCUUCUGUCCCCUGGCCUGGUUGCAGAGCCGUUCUCUGGCUCAGACAACUUGCAGCUCAAGGACACUUUGCUAAAGGAGCCAGAGGAGAUGUGGGAAGAGGAAGAGCUCCCAGACACAGAGGCUUCAGGGAAUGGGGACAGCGACCCAUGGAGCAUGUUACUUCCCCCAUUGAAAGUGAAAAAGGCAGAAGCAGUGGCUUCUGCCAUGGCCAGAGAGCCCUGGGAUGAGGGACCCAGUGAGCUUUUCCCCACCUCAGAGCCUGAGGAAACCUCACGCUUCUCAGCUUUACCUUCAUCUGAAGGCUACGGUGAGGAGAGGGGAACUCAUCGGUCAGCAGAGCACAGCACCCACAGCAAGCUGCUGUGCACGAAGACUGGGGAUGCUUCAAAGCACCUUCUGCAUAUCGAGGCAGAGGAGCUGGAGAAGUUGGAGGAAGACAUUCUCUCCUCCCUGGAUCAAGAAAGCCCCUCGAUGCCUCACAGCCUUUGCAGUUGGAGCCAAGACUGUGGAGGAGAGACCGAAAACUACCCACAGCUCGUGCCUCCUGACCUGUUUGCAGAGCUGUGGUCUCUCUUUAACAACAGGGACGUGCCAUCCUGGGACUCUCGUUUAGAUGACUUACUGGGAAAGUGUGAGAAAGGAGAGGACCCUGACAGAGAUGCUGCAGGAGAGGGGGACAGUGAGCCAGAGGGUGCACUGUGUCCCCCUCUGCAAGACAAAGAAGCGGAGCCAGCAACUUCUCCCCUGGUCAGUGAUGCCUUUGAUGAGGGGCACAGACAGCCUCUCCCAAUGGCACCACCCGAAGAGGCAAAGAUGUUGGCUUGCAUCUUGCCUGCUAAUCCCACAGAGGAGGCCAAUGCAGCAUGCAUGGAUGCUGUCUGUUCCCAGGCCAGACUUGCCCAGGAAAAUGGCUGUGGGGCUGGGGAGACAGCAGAGCCUUGCCCAGUGCCUGCCCAGCCCCUGGCAUGCAGCGUUCCUUCCUCCCCCACUGACAUGACCUCUGUCCCACAGCCCCCGGCCCCACGGCGAUGGCACUCCAUCGUCAAGAUGGCCCGGCGGGCACUGAGACAGCUUUUCUCCUUCAGCUGCCUCAGGGGGCAGCAAGAGGAGUGAGCCCAGAGCCAGCACCAGGGGGAUCCAAGAGAUGGCUGCUCACCCUCACACAGCUCCCAGAGGGAGCCGCAGCUCCCAGAGGCAGCGGCACAGGGAGGCAUCCUCCUUUCCUAUGGCAAGUAGGAAAACGCCUCCCUGGAUCCCCACAACAUGGACUGGAGAAAAGGGCUUACCCCAGAAGAGUGGUCUGGGGCCCCCACCUCUGCCUCCACAAGAGCUACUAGGACUCUUCACCAUCAGAAAGUGCAGGGUGACGAAGGACUGAUGGGAUGGCUCUGGAGCCAAGUUAAUGUCUGUCUUCUGCUUGAUGUCACCAUUCCUUCCCUCUCCUACCCCCAAUGUUCUUUCCUACUCUCUCUUUAUCAUCGUUCUCUUUU
rnacentral:lncRNA from 1 species